GGAAAGAGAAGACUGAGGAGGUACCGCUUCUGGGGAGUUGAGAAUAUGUCUUUUCCCCCCACCAGUCACCUUAUUUAUUUUUUUUUAAAUAAAACUUCUUCCUUUAUUUUAAAAUCUAAUCCUGGAAGUUUGCUCGUGCUUUUCAAGUUUUAAUCGAAGAACAUCUUUGUGAUCAGAUUAACCAAAUAUUGACCCCCAAAAGGAAGCUAAGACUCAGAGAAGAUCGGUAGAGACCUUUCAAGCCUCUAAUAUGUGAGGAAAUGACCAGCUCGAAGCAGAUACUAAUUUUCCCUGCCCCCUCACCCCCACCCCAAUGAGCUGGCACAUGCUGGAGGUGGUGCAUGGCAGAGCUGCGCUGCUCCUAAGAGGUAUGUUUCUGAAGAGAACGGGAAAUGGGCACCGCUGCACACAGGUGUGGUCCUCUGUGGUCCCACCCGUCUUCCCAGAAAGUCCCUGGAGUAGCCACACCUAAGAAAGGCAAGUAACAUACAUAGAUAAGCAGCCAUUGAAUGAAGAUGGCAUCCUGCGAUA
rnacentral:lncRNA from 1 species